UACGUAGGUGGCAAGCGUUAUCCGGAUUUAUUGGGCGUAAAGGGAACGCAGGCGGUCUUUUAAGUCUGAGGUGAAAGCCUUCGGCUUAACCGGAGUAGUGCAUUGGAAACUGGGAGACUUGAGUGCAGAAGAGGAGAGUGGAACUCCAUGUGUAGCGGUGAAAUGCGUAGAUAUAUGGAAGAACACCAGUGGCGAAAGCGGCUCUCUGGUCUGUAACUGACGCUGAGGUUCGAAAGCGUGGGUAGCAAACAGG
rnacentral:rRNA from 1 species